rnacentral:rRNA from 1 species
UGGGGAAUUUUGGACAAUGGGCGCAAGCCUGAUCCAGCAAUGCCGCGUGAGUGAAGAAGGCCUUCGGGUUGUAAAGCUCUUUUGUCAGGGAAGAAACGGUAGGAGCUAAUAUCUCUUGCUAAUGACGGUACCUGAAGAAUAAGCACCGGCUAACUACGUGCCAGCAGCCGCGGUAAUACGUAGGGUGCAAGCGUUAAUCGGAAUUACUGGGCGUAAAGCGUGCGCAGGCGGUUUUGUAAGUUUGUCGUGAAAUCCCCGGGCUUAACCUGGGAAUUGCGAUGAAGACUGCAAGGCUAGAAUCUGGCAGAGGGGGGUAGAAUUCCACGUGUAGCAGUGAAAUGCGUAGAGAUGUGGAGGAACACCGAUGGCGAAGGCAGCCCCCUGGGUCAAGAUUGACGCUCAUGCACGAAGGCGUGGGGAGCAAAC